AUUGAACGCUGGCGGAAUGCUUUACACAUGCAAGUCGAACGGCAGCACGGGGGCAACCCUGGUGGCGAGUGGCGAACGGGUGAGUAAUACAUCGGAACGUGCCCAGUCGUGGGGGAUAACGUAGCGAAAGCUACGCUAAUACCGCAUACGAUCUACGGAUGAAAGCGGGGGAUCGCAAGACCUCGCGCGAUUGGAGCGGCCGAUGGCAGAUUAGGUAGUUGGUGGGGUAAAGGCCUACCAAGCCGACGAUCUGUAGCUGGUCUGAGAGGACGACCAGCCACACUGGGACUGAGACACGGCCCAGACUCCUACGGGAGGCAGCAGUGGGGAAUUUUGGACAAUGGGCGCAAGCCUGAUCCAGCAAUGCCGCGUGCAGGAUGAAGGCCUUCGGGUUGUAAACUGCUUUUGUACGGAGCGAAAAGGCUUCCACUAAUACUGGGGGCUCAUGACGGUACCGUAAGAAUAAGCACCGGCUAACUACGUGCCAGCAGCCGCGGUAAUACGUAGGGUGCAAGCGUUAAUCGGAAUUACUGGGCGUAAAGCGUGCGCAGGCGGUCUUGUAAGACAGGUGUGAAAUCCCCGGGCUUAACCUGGGAACUGCACUUGUGACUGCAAGGCUGGAGUACGGCAGAGGGGGAUGGAAUUCCGCGUGUAGCAGUGAAAUGCGUAGAUAUGCGGAGGAACACCGAUGGCGAAGGCAAUCCCCUGGGCCUGUACUGACGCUCAUGCACGAAAGCGUGGGGAGCAAA
rnacentral:rRNA from 1 species